UAACACGUAGGAGGCGAGCGUUAUCCGGAUUCACUGGGCGUAAAGCGCGUGCAGGCGGUUCGGUAAGUUGGGCGUGAAAUCUCCCGGCUCAACUGGGAGAGGUCGUCCAAUACUACCGAACUUGAGAGCGAUAGAGGAAAAUGGAAUUCCCGGUGUAGUGGUGAAAUGCGUAGAUAUCGGGAGGAACACCAGUGGCGAAAGCGAUUUUCUGGAUCGUUUCUGACGCUCAGACGCGAAAGCUAGGGUAGCAAACGGGAUUAGAGACCCCGGUAGUCCUAGCUGUAAACGAUGUGAACUUGGCGUUGGUGGCUUAAACUCCAUCAGUGCCGAAGCUAACGCGAUAAGUUCACCGCCUGGGGACUACGGCCGCAAGGUUAAAACUUAAAUGAAUUGACGG
rnacentral:rRNA from 1 species